UUAAUAUCUGUUUCUGUGAUUGAAUCAAAUUGGAAAGUUAACUGUAAAUGCUAAUUGUUGUUUUUUUUCUCUAUGCUUUUGGUGAGUGUUAAUGGCGGAUAAGCAAGUGGUUGUGAGUUAAGGAGAAACUGUAAAGGAAUUCGUCUAUGCACUUCAAUGAAGUUUAUCAUCACCGGUUGGAGACAAAGAUAGACAAAGACACGUAACUUGCAACUCAUGUUCCACUUGAUGCCAAAAGAGACAUAUGAUUCGUUUGCUUUGUUGUCUUUUUUUUAGCUUUGUAUGUUUCCACCACAUGUAUCUUUUUAGCUUUGUAUUUUCUUACACACCUUGUCUUUUAUUUAACUUUGUAUUUGGACCACAAGUUGUCUUAUUUUAGCUUUGUAUGGUCAUGUAUAUUCGAU
rnacentral:misc_RNA from 1 species